rnacentral:rRNA from 1 species
AUUGAACGCUGGCGGCAGGCUUAACACAUGCAAGUCGAGCGGAGAUGAGGUGCUUGCACCUUAUCUUAGCGGCGGACGGGUGAGUAAUGCUUAGGAAUCUGCCUAUUAGUGGGGGACAACAUUCCGAAAGGAAUGCUAAUACCGCAUACGCCCUACGGGGGAAAGCAGGGGAUCUUCGGACCUUGCGCUAAUAGAUGAGCCUAAGUCGGAUUAGCUAGUUGGUGGGGUAAAGGCCUACCAAGGCGACGAUCUGUAGCGGGUCUGAGAGGAUGAUCCGCCACACUGGGACUGAGACACGGCCCAGACUACUACGGGAGGCAGCAGUAGGGAAUAUUGGACAAUGGGCGGAAGCCUGAUCCAGCCAUGCCGCGUGUGUGAAGAAGGCCUUUUGGUUGUAAAGCACUUUAAGCGAGGAGGAGGCUACCUGGAUUAAUACUCUAGGAUAGUGGACGUUACUCGCAGAAUAAGCACCGGCUAACUCUGUGCCAGCCGCCGCGGUAAUAC